rnacentral:rRNA from 1 species
GACGUAGGGGGCCAGCGUUGCUCGGAAUUACUGGGUGUAAAGGGUUCGUAGGCGGUGCGGCAAGUUGGGAGUGAAAUCUCUGGGCUCAACCCAGAGGCUGCUUCCAAAACUGCUGUGCUUGAGUGUGGGAGAGGCGCGUGGAAUUGCAGGUGUAGCGGUGAAAUGCGUAGAUAUCUGCAGGAACAUCCGUGGCGAAAGCGGCGCGCUGGACCACAACUGACGCUGAGGAACGAAAGCUAGGGGAGCAAACAG